rnacentral:rRNA from 1 species
AUUGAACGCUGGCGGCAGGCCUAACACAUGCAAGUCGAACGAGUGGCGGACGGGUGAGUAAUGUCUGGGAAACUGCCUGAUGGAGGGGGAUAACUACUGGAAACGGUAGCUAAUACCGCAUACCAUCGGAUGUGCCCAGAUGGGCUUAGCUAGUAGGUGGGGUAAAGGCUCACCUAGGCGACGAUCCCUAGCUGGUCUGAGAGGAUGACCAGCCACACUGGAAGUUAUACACGGCCCAGACUACUACGGGAGGCAGCAGUGGGGAAUAUUGCACAAUGGGCGCAAGCCGGAGGCAGCCAUGCCGCGUGUAUGAAGAAGGCCUUCGGGUUGUAAAGGACUUUCAGCGGGGAGGCGUUACCCGCAGAAGAAGCACCGGCUAACGCCGUGCCAGCAGCCGCGGUAAUUC